GAUGAACGCUAGCGGGAGGCUUAACACAUGCAAGUCGAGGGGCAGCAUAGGGUAGCAAUACUCUGAUGGCGACCGGCAAACGGGUGAGUAACGCGUAUGUAACCUACCCUGUACAGGGGGAUAACCUGGAGAAAUUCGGACUAAUAUCCCAUAACAAUAUCCGGGGGCAUCUUUGGAUAUUUAAAGUUCCGGCGGUACGGGAUGGGCAUGCGUAACAUUAGCUAGUUGGUAAGGUAACGGCUUACCAAGGCUUUGAUGUUUAGGGGUCCUGAGAGGGUGGUCCCCCACACUGGUACUGAGACACGGACCAGACUCCUACGGGAGGCAGCAGUGAGGAAUAUUGGUCAAUGGGCGCAAGCCUGAACCAGCCAUCCCGCGUGCAGGAAGACGGCGCUAUGCGUUGUAAACUGCUUUUCCAGGGAGAGAAACUUGCGCACGUGUUGCGCAAUUGACGGUACCCUGGGAAUAAGCAUCGGCUAACUCCGUG
rnacentral:rRNA from 1 species